rnacentral:rRNA from 1 species
GUAGGUGAACCUGCGGAAGGAUCAUUAGUGAAUUUAGGGUGCUCUUUUCAGCGGAAGCGAUUAGAGGCCUGACCUCCACUUAUCCUAACACUGUGCAUUUAUCCGAGUUUGUAAUCCUUGAGUUCACGCUCAAGUCUUACUCGUCUAUCAUCUUUAACUUUAGUCAAAGAAUGUAAAUAAAAUUUAAUAAAUAAAACUUUCAACAACGGAUCUCUUGGCUCUCGCUUCGAUGAAGAACGCAGCGAAAUGUGAUAAGUAAUGUGAAUUGCAGAAUUCAGUGAAUCAUCGAAUCUUUGAACGCACCUUGCGCUCUCUGGUAUUCCGGAGAGCAUGCCUGUUUGAGUGUCAUGAACUCUUCAACCCACCAGUUUCUUGCUAAACUGCGCUGGUGUUUGGUUUCUGAACGUUGCUGGUUCCUUGUUGAACUUCAGCUCGCUUAAAAUACAUUAGCAUCUCCAAUUUCGAAACUUGGAUUGAUCAGCGUAAUAGACUUUUCGCUGGGGAC